rnacentral:tRNA from 1 species
GUGUAUAUAGCUCAGUGGUAGAGCACUCGACUGCAGAUUGAGAGGUCCCCAGUUGAACCACUGUACGUG